UGAGUAACCUGCCCUUAACUCUGGGAUAAGCCUGGGAAACUGGGUCUAAUACCGGAUAUGACUCCUCAUCGCAUGGUGGGGGGUGGAAAGCUUUUUGUGGUUUUGGAUGGACUCGCGGCCUAUCAGCUUGUUGGUGAGGUAAUGGCUCACCAAGGCGACGACGGGUAGCCGGCCUGAGAGGGUGACCGGCCACACUGGGACUGAGAUACGGCCCAGACCCCUACGGGAGCAG
rnacentral:rRNA from 1 species